CCAAAGGGUUAUUGCCUUACAACGGCGAGUGAAGCGGCAAAAGCUCAAAUUUGAAAUCUGGCACCUUCGGUGUCCGAGUUGUAAUUUGAAGAAGGUAACUUUGGAGUUGGCUCUUGUCUAUGUUCCUUGGAACAGGACGUCACAGAGGGUGAGAAUCCCGUGCGAUGAGAUGCCCAAUUCUAUGUAAAGUGCUUUCGAAGAGUCGAGUUGUUUGGGAAUGCAGCUCUAAGUGGGUGGUAAAUUCCAUCUAAAGCUAAAUAUUGGCGAGAGACCGAUAGCGAACAAGUACAGUGAUGGAAAGAUGAAAAGAACUUUGAAAAGAGAGUGAAAAAGUACGUGAAAUUGUUGAAAGGGAAGGGCUUGAGAUCAGACUUGGUAUUUUGCGAUCCUUUCCUUCUUGGUUGGGUUCCUCGCAGCUUACUGGGCCAGCAUCGGUUUGGAUGGUAGGAUAAUGACUAAGGAAUGUGGCUCUACUUCGGUGGAGUGUUAUAGCCUUGGUUGAUACUGCCUGUCUAGACCGAGGACUGCGUCUUUUGACUAGGAUGUUGGCAUAAUGAUCUUAAGCCACCCCUCUUGAACCAACGAACCAAAAAAAAAAUAAAAAAAGGGCACAGCGGGGGGCACCGGUCUUGGUGUAAUGGGUAGGGGUCGAUGAAAUACUUUUU
rnacentral:rRNA from 1 species